CUUCUUUUUUUUCUCUACCUCCUCAUCGUUCCUGCCAUAGUCUCAGGCAAGUUUACUCGUACCCCGCCAUCUGUUGAGCGGCUCAGGCAUCUUAACAAGCCUUCUCAGCGGUCCUACCCAACCUGGCUCGCUCCGCCCCGCCCCGCUGCCUCCCGCCUCAUCGGUCUCGGCCACACCGCACCUCAGUGGCGAGCAGAAGGCGGCGGACGCUGACUACUUGAGGCGCAGGCGACGACGACGAGCGCUCAGAAGUUAUAAUAAGGCGCGUUUUCUUUCUUCUUACGAUAGAGGAAGGAAAAAUGAGCGGACUAUUCGGGAGCUUCGCGUCUGCCAGUGGCUACGGGCAGUCACACGGCGGCGGGUACGGAAAGGAGAUCGAAUGUAACUCCGCCCUUGGAUUGAUUGGUCUUCUGGGUCUCAUCGAGCUGCUAAGGGACAUCAUUGAGAACAUGGUUACGAUGCCUGCUAUGCGGCGGAGGCAGAAGUGUGGCUGACAAAGGCGUCUUCAGAAACUCCUUGGUGGGGGCCUUGUUUCGUGGCGGCGCAGAAAACCACCACCCGCUCGGCUCCCUCCCCGUCCUCCUGCUGCCCCUGCUGCACAGUGCCGUGGACGCCGCCGACGGCCUGCUUCCUCCUGCCUGCUUCGAGCAGGACUGUCUGCGAAAACCAACCGUGCCUUAGCCUCGGAGGGAACGACUUGGGGUGUUCCUGGGGCGUUCUUGACCAACUCCACGUCCUUCCCUCAUCACCAGUGUGGUAGCCAGAAGGCCUUCACUAGUGAUGAGGACGCCUACACGAGGGCGCUGCAGGCUGGGGAGACAGGAAGGGCGGGCGUGAAUUGUGAGACCGCGUAUUCCACCUGUUUAGAUCCCCGUCCGGAGUAUUCAGUUGUGGAGGGUGUUGAUGUGAAGAGUGUGGUGAGGCGACAUACUGGCCGACCUUACUUAGACCAAACAAACAGACCGACAGACAGACAGACGGACAGACGGACAGACACAAAGAUAAGGACAGGGACAAAGUGAAGGAAGAAAUGAGAAUAUGAGAAUAAAAGCGACGGGAAUAUUAAUGGGUAUAAAAAAAAUAUUAAACAAUGGAAUCAGGAGACAAGGACAAUUAUACAGCAGCGGUGUUUGUCAGACUAUUCUUAGAAAUAAUAAA